rnacentral:rRNA from 1 species
GGCGGGGACGCUUUUAUUAGGAUCAAGACCAUUCGCUUCGGCGUUCACUUGAUGACUCAGAAUAACACCUCAGAUCGCGUCGGUCUCUGUACCGGCGACUUAUCUUUCAAAUGCCUGACUUAUCAACUGACGAUGGUAGACUCCGCGUCUACCAUGGUCGUUACGGGUAACGGGGAAUCAGGGUUCGAUUCCGGAGAGGGAGCCUGAGAAACGGCUACCACAUCCAAGGAAGGCAGCAGGCACGCAAAUUACCCACUCCCGGCACGGGGAGGUAGUGACAAAAAAUAACGAUACGGGACUCUUUUAGAGGCCCCGUAAUCGGAAUGAAUACACUUUAAAACCUUGUUUAAAGGUCAAUCGGAGGGAAAGUCUGGUGCCAGCAGCCGCGGUAACUCCAGCUCCGAUAGCGUAUAUUAAAAUUGUUGCGGUUAAAAAGCUCGUAGUUGGUUCUGCGUACCACGCUGUCGGUACACCGCCUGUCGGUGACACUGGCAUGCCGUGGUAUGUCCUGUCGGUGGCGGCCGUCUAAGCCACGCGGAAAGCGGCACCGGGUCAUGCCGAGCCGUGUUUAUACCGCGAGGUCCAAGCGCGGUCGCCGACUCCUAUCCUACCGCGGUGCUCUUCACUGAGUGUCGAGGUAGGCCGACACGUUUACUUUGAACAAAUUAGAGUGCUUAAAGCAGGCUCAAAUUUCUGCCUGAAUAGUGGUGCAUGGAAUAAUGGAACAGGCCCUUGGUCCUAUUCUGUUGGUCUCCGGGACACAAGGUAAUGAUCAAUAUGGACAGUGCGGGGGCAUUCGUAUUGCGGCUCCGAUGACUCGGCGGGGAGCUUCCCCCGGGAAACCAAAGCGUUUGGGUUCCGGGGGAAGUAUGGUUGCAAAGCUGAAACUUAAAGGAAUUGACGGAAGGGCACCACCAGGAGUGGAGCCUGCGGCUUAAUUUGACUCAACACGGGAAACCUCACCAGGUCAGGACAUUGGAAUGAUUGACAGAUUGAUAGCUCUUUCUUGAUUCAGUGGGUAGUGGUGCAUGGCCGUUCUUAGUUGGUGGACCGAUUUGUCUGGUUAAUUCCGAUAACGAACGAGACUCUAGCCUAUUAACUAGACGUUUCCGGUAUCGUAGCUACCGGCGAAAAGUUCUCUUCUUAGGGGGACAGGCGGCUUUUAGCCGCACGAGAUUGAGCAAUAACAGGUCUGUAAUGCCCUUAGAUGUCCUGGGCCGCACGCGCGCUACACUGAAGGAAUCAGCGUGUGUCUUCCCUUGGCCGAAAGGUCCGGGUAACCCGCUGAACCUCCUUCGUGCUAGGAAUUGGGGCUUGCAAUUGUUCCCCAUGAACGAGGAAUUCCCAGUAAGCGCGAGUCAUAAGCUGGCGUUGAUUACGUCCCUGCCCUUUGUACACACCGCCCGUCGCUGCUACCGAUUGAAUGGUUUAGUGAGGUCUUCGGACCGGCGGUAAGCGGGACCGUCUUCGUGUCGGUCUUGCCGUAACGCUGGGAAGAUG